AUGGCGGAUUCGUCGGCGCCGACGCGGGUGAUGAUGGCGGUGAACGAGUCGUCGCUCAAGGGGUACCCGCACCCCUCCAUCAGCUGCCGCUCCGCCUUCGACUGGAUGCUCUCCAAGCUCGUCCGCUCCAACACCGACGGCUUCCACCUCCUCUUCCUCCACGUCCAGGUCCCCGACGAGGACGGAUUUGAUGAUAUGGAUAGUAUAUAUGCAUCACCGACGGACUUCCAGAGCAUGAAGCAGAGAGACAGGAUAAGAGGGAUUCACCUACUUGAGUACUUCGUGAACGAAUGCCAUCGAUUGGGGAUAAAAUGUGAAGCUUGGACCAAACAGGGGGAUCCAAAGGAGGUUAUCUGCCAUGAGGUGAAAAGAGUCCAGCCUGAUCUUCUAGUUGUGGGAAGUAGAGGCCUCGGGCCAUUUCAGAGGGUUUUCGUGGGCACGGUGAGCGAGUUCUGCGUCAAGCAUGCCGAGUGUCCAGUCAUCACCAUCAAGCGCAAGGCCAACGAAGCUCCCCAGGACCCCAUCGACGAUUGA
rnacentral:rRNA from 1 species